AAAACAUAUUAUUUUACAUAACUCUUUUUUUCAUGUUUAAACAUAAAAGAAGGGUGCAUUGUUCCCUUUUCUCCCUUUUUUCCGUUUCGUUUUCGCAAAAGUACCGGAAUAGUGCGAGGGAGAGAGACCAAAUAGGAAAAGGAGCAGGAGAUCGAAGAAUGAACGAUUUGCGCCGCUCUCACUUUCUUUUGCGCGCCGGCCCAAGCGCACGUUCUGAAGUCAGCUCCGCGUUUAAAUUCGAGAAAAUGCGGAAAAUGGUAGAAAAUCCAUCGGAUAAAAUGUCGCGCGGGAGUUUAGUGAAGCUUGGUCUACAAAAAAGUCUUUUAGUGCAAGAAAAUGUGUUUAAAGACAAACAAAAGUUUUUUUUUAAGGGCGGGGGCGAUGAAAAAGGCAAAAUGGCAAAAUGGCGACAAGAAGCAAAGUGUGUGUGUGUGCGCUUAAAAAUUCGUCAGGCUUUGUCCCUUUCACACUCCCAUUGCUCGAGUAUGUGGGAUGCAGUGAUGAAGAGAAUCAAAAAGGAAUGUGCUCUCGUUCCAAGUGAAGUUCAUGGCAGGGUGCGGCAUUCCCAAUAGUGCUGAUCUGACUUUUUCUUGUUUCGUGGGAUUACACGAACCUCCAACCUCUGGUGCCUCACCUUAAAUGAAUAUGCCCAAAAUUUGUGCUAACGGAACAUUAUUAGGGUACAGACCACGCCAAUUAGGAUCUUUUAUAGAUAUGUCUAUGCUAUCGUUGGAAAACACUCGCCAAAGUGGUCGAAACAAGGGACAUUGUUAUUCAAAUAUUUAUCGGGCCAGCCAGUCGACCAGUAGGCCCGGUCCGGCCAUCCCGUCAGUCAGGCACUCAGUCAUGCAGGCAACAAAGACACGCAAUGGAAAGCCCCACACAGCCCCACACAGCCCCCCACGAGUGUAUGCCUGCAUUGCUGGUGGCAUGGCAUGUUUUUACAGUUACAUUACAAACAACAAAUGCAGCCAAAAGCAGCAAAGCAGUUAAUGCGCUUGAAAAAGAUACAAUCGACUGGGAGAUACCCACCAAACGGAUUUAUUUCAUGGGCAUUGGGUAGAUAUGAUGUAAAAACAUAAUGGAAAUUGUUUGCAGGUUACUCCUAAAAUUAUUCCAAAAUUUAUAGCUUACAUUUCUAUGCAAAUAUGUAUUUUUGGAACAUCUGAAACUGAAACAAACGUCGGUUAAUGGACUUUAAAAAUGUUAAAUCCCAGCGCCACACGUUUAAACCUAAUUGAAUGGAAUAACCACCCAAUGCAGUACCUAUGAAACACCUUCUUCUGCUUAAUACACCCUGCUCCUCUACCAGUACGAGGUAUCAACACUGUGCAAGCGUUUCCCUGGCUUCCCUUGGCUGAGGCUUCGCCUGCAGCUUUGGCUUAAACGACGACACGCCAGUCAGAGUCGGGCCAAUUUCAGUUUCGGUGAUAAAUUUCGUAUAAUAAAGAAGACAUUAAGCAAACGCCAGUCGCCAGGAAUGAGAAUGAGAAUGAGAAUGACAACGACAACAAGGACCACCCGCAGCUCGGACACAUUUUACACCUGGCUGAAGGAGCAGUAAAAAAAUAUAUAUUAUUUUAUACCUCCCUCUAAAAAAAUGUCUAUUUUAUAGUGUAAACGUUUUUAAGGUUUUUUACAAGCGCCAACUAAUUGCGCCUUCAAAUGCGACCCAGCGGCAGGACCGGAAGAUACAUGGCCACGGAAUCAGAUGAAAUACCGCCUAAAAUGUGGAAAACGCUUUAAGCGAUUAUUGUGCCGCUUUGGGCCAUCCAUAAAAGCAUAUUAAGGCAGAAACUUGACCAUUGAACCGAUUCUGGGGGAAUAAAAAAUAACACACACUCACACUCGGGCAAAGGCAUUGUGUUCGGUGAAAUUUCUCAUUGAAUUGUAUUGAAAAGCAAAUGGCAUUCAAUAUUUAUGCAAAUUUAUUAUUGAUUAUGAUUAUACAGCUGCACGGUUGGGCGAUGAGAAGUGCAGCUGUAAAGCCCCGCGGCGACCUGCAAAAACACACUCUUCUGCACACAUCCCUAUAUUUAUUUACACAAAUAUAGGUCUAUAAAGAAUAAAACCAGUUUAUGUGCCGCCCAAUUUAAUUAAAGUUUGCUUUUAUACCCUUCCAGAGACCGUAUUUGUUUUGCCGAGAGACCGGUAUCGGUAGACAAGGAGGAAUAUACGAUAUAUUGCUAUGUUCUUUAUCAGCAUUCAAGGCCGUGCAGUGAGCAUCGAGUAAGUAGGAAAGCCACAAAGCCACAGAGAUGGGUAUUUGCUGAGAUAUUUAGUAAAUUCCCAAUCCAAUCCCUCCUAGUCAUAGGCCCUACGAUCUGCAAGGGUAUCCUGCAUUUCAGCUCCUGAGGGUAGCCUUUCUUUGAAGUUUUUUUUUGUAUUUUCAAACAUGUUAAUUCGCACUAAAAGCGAGAGGAUUGAACAGUAAUAUACACAUGUUUUUAUAAUACUAAUAUGAGUAAUAUCCCACAAACAGAGCAAUAAAUCAGCGAAUACAUAAUAAAUAAUUUACCAUAAUUAAUUACCAGAAGAAGCCCUUACUUUUAGUAAAACCUUAAAUCCAGCCGGAACCACCUUUCCAUCCACCUGCAUCGCAGGCAGACUCUGUCUAUCUCUCUGUGUGUUUUAAACUUAAAUCACAGAGACCGGAACCGGAAGGAAGAACAACACAAAGCUUCGACUACACAGCGGACAAGCCGCAGCUGGACAUCGCAGUCUGAUCCCACCUGGCCGGAGGCAGGCUCCUUGACUUGCAGUUGCGUUUGACACUUUUCUCGGGCAACGGAAACGAUGGCGGCGGUGGCGGUGGCGCAGGCAAAGCGACAGAACAAUCAAAGUGCAGCACGACAGGGACUUGAAAGUGGCAGGCACGUAAACGAAAACAAAAUGGCGGCGGGGUGGAGCACCACACACGGACCGCAAGCCAAACAAGCGGCAACAGCAGAAAGAAAUUACAUGCAACAAGACAACAAAGUUGUCAAUGUCGAUGUCGACGUUGUUUGGUUUGCAAAAAAAAUUACCAUACCCCAGAAGCCAUCUUCCCGCCCUCCGCUCGCCGCACUCCCGCACGGCCAAAUGGUGCGGCCUGGAUCUGCAUCUGAAGUCGAAGGCAAGAGCCGGGAUGACUGCUCUGUGGCCACAGCAUCCUCCUAAUCCUGCCCCCACUUCCUGUUCUGUUUGUCCCCCAGGCAUCGCACAAAUAUUAGCUGUUAAACAAGCACUGGCUGUUGCUUUUGUUGCUGUAAAAAUUCACAAUUACACAUGCAAUGCCAGAAACCGAAAGAAAAGACCAGAAAGAAAAUGUUGCACGUCGAAAAUUAAGCGAAAACCGAGAGUGGGGAAAACAAUAAGAGAAGACGGCGCGGGGUGGAGGAUGGGAGGAGGGAAAAAAUUGGCAUAAAAUGCAAAAAUGAAAAUGCAACAAGCAAAAAAUAUUUUGCUUCGUUAAGUUUUUAGCGUACAUGCGCAAACAGCAACAAUAAAGUGUUAAUGUGUGCAAACUAACACAGGCAUAUGGGACACACACACACAUGCGGGGACACCACGCAUACACACACACAGAGACUCGUAGAAUAGAAAGGAAAAACGUGGCAGGAGCAAUUGCAACCGCAGAAAAUGCAAAACACAUGCCAUGGGAAAAUGAGCAGGGCCACACUGGCAGCAGCAUUGACAGGAAGGAGCGGAAGGAGGGAAGGAGAAGCCAACAGCAGGAUACCAAGGAUACGAGGAUGCACGGAAGAAGCAGACGAAGGAUGAUAUGAAGACAGGAACGUUGUCGACUUUAUGCACAUGCAAAUGCAAUAAAAUCAACUGAAAUAAAAUAAGAUUCGAAUUUCGCCAGCAGCAAACAAAUGGCUGCAUUUGAUCUGAGUGUGCCAUCACUUCCAUAAGGAUUUAUUGAUCAAUGGCUUGAAGAUUCGCCAGCUAAAAUGUAAGUGAUUGGAUAUAGUUUCACGUACUACAGUGGAGUCUCUGGAGGAGCAGUAUUAUAGACCUCCUUAAAUCCAUGUUUUUCGAGGAAAUUAGUAGAGUUUUUGGCCAUUAAAAAAUAGUAAAACCCAAGCCUUAUGGUAUAUUAGAAUUAUUCGAAACUGAAGCAAAGCCAACGCGGAUUGGAACUUCAAAACUCAAAGAAUUUUCCACUGUAUAGCAGUAUGUGUAUGUUCCACCAAAAAUACUGUAUGCAUAUGCACUUCCUUCAUUCUCGGCUAAUCAAACUAAACUCCCAACAGAAGCGGAAAGGAAACAACAUUUGCAACAAUGAGCGCACAAACAUAUUUAUUUCUUAGUGCAUACAUUCACAUCUAUAUGCGUGUGUGUGUGUGUGUGUGUGUCGGGGGAGAAACUGCACACACACAUACAGACAUACAUCAGUGGUGGCUCGGCUGCGCUUUCCCCUCGCCCUCGCCCUGGCAUUCCAUUUCAUUUUUAUACUACACUCACUUUUCACUGUUAGUUAUGUCUGCUUGCGGUUUCCUUCUUUUCACGUUAUUUAUGUUUAUUUGCAUAUAUUUUAUUUCAUUUUAUUUUAUUUUGCUUUCAAAAAAUGUAGAGGAAAUGCAACUAAAACACGCUCAUUUAUUUCCGCAGACACAGCGCAGAAAUUUGUGAGAAGUCAGGCUAACCCCAGGACUCUUUCGUGCGCCCCCAGGACAUACACAGUGGCUGCUUCUGUGCGGGGUGGUUAGGGGCGGGGGGCAACUGUGUGAGUGUAUGGUAAAUUAGUAGACAAAUGACUAUAAUGGCCAGUACGUGAACAAGUCCAAAUUUAAAGCUUAUGGCACAGGACAAGUUCUUUGAACUCUGCUUUGGAUAUGUAAGCAACGGAGUCUGCAAAAAUAAAUAACCAAAAGUGCCAAAGGCAGGCAACACUACGAGUAUCUACAGAACAUGCACAAAUGUAUCUACUCGUAGUCGUACUCGUACUCGUACUCGUAGAUGUUUAUGGUAAUGGGUUUUGCAUGCAAAUGCAUUGCAGUUCAUAAGCUGCUUAGCAGGUGUCCAGCAAACAAAUACCAGCCAAAUGCAACACAAUUUAAGAUGCCGAAAAUCUAUAGAUAAAUAUCUGAAAAUAUCAGACAAAGGUAGGUAGGUAGGUAAAGUGUUAAACACCUUUAAGCAGGAGCUUAAGUAUAUAAGAGACUCCUUGUUUAUUCUUAUAUUUCAUUAACAUAUUCUUUUGGUUACGAGUACUCAACAAAAAAAAACCAAUCAGAAGCCAUGUUCUUAAAAGUAUUGUCAAUAUGCACAAACAAAUGGAACACAAAUCUUGGGGGGAACAUCUAGUACCCAACCCAGAGUCGAGUCACACAAUUCCACACUUGGGGCCAUCCGUCAAGGGGAACAGCCAAGCCAGAACCCGUAUUUUAUCUUGGUUCGCUCACUCUCUCCCUCUUUUUCUCUCUCUCUCUGGGAAAGAAUGUGUCCCUUAGUCAUGUUUGAUUUGCAAUUUUGCACAAUCAAACUCUUGCCAAGGAUCGCAGUGGCAGUGGCAGUGGCAGUGGCAGAGGCAGGAGCUGUAGCCGGGGAGCCGGGAGCUCCAGCUGGAUGCCAGGAGGCAGAAGGCAGCCA